AAACCAGGCGGCAAGCUCAUCCUACACCUUUCAAGAGCUACCAAAUUCGUCCCCUUACUAUUUUGGGGAGCUUUUGGGUAUGCAUCUAAAUUUUAUCUUUU